AAAAUGUGGAAUUCCGACAUAAAAGGAAAUACCACUCAAAUAGAAACUACGUUGAGUUUGGGCAAGUUGUGCGGUCCUUUUUCGGGGCUAUACAAGUGGUGGAUGUUUAGUCAAAAAUGCAGGAGCUUCAUUCUGCCGAAACCCAAAAUCAUGGAGUGUUUCUUCCAAAUGAUGUGAAUCUCUUUCUUUCACAUCAUCAUCAUUUUCAGCUAUGUGCAAGGACGCCAGUGACACAUCAAUGGCAGCCAUAUCAUCAACUACAUUGACCGAAAGGAUAUCUUCUGGGGGAAAAACAAUUCUAAAUAAACAACUGAAUACAUUCAGCGGUUAUUGGAGGAUUUUUUUUUUUAAUAUUAUCAAAUGUACUUUAAUAUGGUAUUUUUGUUAUUAAUGUCCUUAUUGCGAAUAACAUUUAAACCAUCUCUUGUUAUUUUAAUUGUGCUCUACUUUUUAACAAAAGGAAACACAACAACAGUAAAUUAAAAAUACUUAACGCAAACAUAUGGGUUUUUUUAUGUAUAAAACAUAAUUCAACAAUAUAUGUCAUAAAUGUGAAAUGGGCAUCAAAGUAUUAAAAGACAACAUACCUCUUC